rnacentral:lncRNA from 1 species
GGGCCACUAAUUAAACUAAAUCCAAAUAGAAUAGGAAACUGAAAAACUAAGGGUGCGUUUGGUUCGCUGUAUUGGAUUAGAGGUGUAUUGGAUUAGAGGUGUAUUGGGAUUAGAGGUGUAUUGGAUUAGAGGUGUAAUAGCUAAUCCACUGUUUGGUUGAAUGUAAUGGAAUAGAGGCGUAAUAGUAAUCUUGUGUUUGGUUGAAUGGAAUAGAGGUGUAAUAGCAUAAUGGAAAAAACUAAAAUGACUAGAAUACCCUUAGCAUAAAUUUGUUUUGGUAAAUGAUUAUUGUUAUUGUUAUUUAAAUUUUAAUAAGAUUAUUAUUAUCAAUAAUAAAAAUUUAAUCAUAUUUAAACAUAAUUAUUAUUAAAUAUAUUUUAAUUAAAAUAUAUAAUUUAAUAAAAUUCUUAAUAAUCAAUAUUCUUAUAUGAAUUUACUCAAAUCAUAAUAUAUGAUACUAUAAAAUAUAAUUUAACAUAAUUAUUAUUAAAUAUAUUUUAAUUAAAAUAUAUGAUUUAAUAAAAUUCUUAAUAUUAAAUAUUCUUAUAUAAAUUUACUAAAAUUAUAAUAUAUAAUAGUAUAAAAUAUAAUAUAACAUAAUUAUUAUUAAAUAUAAUCAAUUUUUUUGGCAUUUAAACCAUUCCCUCUUACUAAACCUGAUUUCACCACGAAUUCGUCAAACUCUUUGUUUCAUCUGGGGCAAAUUAUAGGUUUAAUUUUCGUCCUUUUUCUCUUCAAUUCUGAGGAGGAAUCUCACAUUUUUUUCUUCAAUUUUAUUAUGAAGAAAAUAUAAUAAAUAAAUUUGAUGAAUUUUAUUAGAUUUGGAAAAUGGUGCUUUAAACAAUUAAAUGAUACACUUUUAGACUCUACAAAUAGAGUCAAAAGAUUGACAAGUGUUCUACAGAGGUAUAGUAAAAUAUUAACCUAGUAAUAUUAAAAAAAGAAAAAAUGUGAAAUUGCUUUCUGGUAGAAUCUAAAUAGAAUUGAAGAAGAAAUAAAAACGAAAUGUUACAGACUAAAUUAACCAAAAUGGUAAAGAUUGAGGGUUGUAUCUAUGGUUAUACAAUAAUAUAGGGAUUGUGCUUAAAAUUUAUGCCAUAUGUUAAUAGGCCUUAAAACGUUUGAGAUAAUAUCCAAAAUCUUGUCCCUAUAAAACUGGGUGAUGAUGUUACACUAACCAUGCUGGCUUUUAGAGAUCCGAGUGCUAAUACCUAUCAAAAUUCACUCAGUCCCAUAUACAUAUAUAUAACACACUCCAUCUAAUCCAAUUUUACCUCAUAUACAAACACUUUUGUCUCUCAAGUCUCUAUAGUCUCGUUUUUCACUUGCUUCCUUUGGAUCGCUGCUUCCGAGUUGUUUUCAAACCAUUCAAACCUUUUUUUAUUGGCUUCAUAUCACCAUUGCUUAAUUGGUAGUCAAAUGUUUUAACAUUCCUAACAAUUGCAUGAACUAUGGUCUCACUUUUCGGGACUAAUAUGGUUUUCCUCUCCACCACCGCAUUCUGCCCGCAUUUCGAAUCAUCCUUUUCCAUCUGAGACUAGAAGCACCAGGAACAGUAUAUUUUAGCAGAACAGGGAACAUAUCAUGGCAACACCAGAAAAAAAAACAACGGAAAAAUUUGAGUUUUAACUCAAUUGGUUCAUGCAAUUACCUUUAAAAAUUGACAUCUUUGCUUCCUGUGUUCAGUCAAUAGAGUUUUAGGAUCCGCAGAAGUAUUCUUGGUUUUGUUAUCAACAACAGCUAGGAUCUGUCUUGCAAAUUGAUUUGCUUGAAGCAUUUCACCCACUGUUUCCCCUACUAACAUUGCUGGUAAUGACAUUCUCCUACAUUCACCUGCAUCAAAAAGGUUGGAUAAAUCCAAUUAUUUGCCAUCUUAGCUUGCUCAACGAAGUUGAACUUUGAAAAAGAUCAUUUCAUAAAAAAUUAGCUUAUAAAGGAAAGCUAGUUUAAUUGGGUUUAGGGUAUAUAUGUAUCUAACCACACUCAAGUGCAAGAGAGUACAAGAGGUAGACAAAUAUGGCAUUCUAAAAGUUACCUUGUAGUGGAUAUUUAUAUAGGAAAUUCAAAAUGAAUGAUAAAUUCAAGAAACAAUGCUCAAGAGAGGGACAGGACUUGCUUGUGGACUAAUAUAAAAAAGAUAAUUUAGAUUAAAAUAUCAUAUCUAUAGUCGACUAACUACUGCAGUAGAAAUUAGGGGUGUAAUUGAGUUGAGCCAAGCUCCAAUGUUGAUAAGUUUGAGUUUAAAUUCGACUUGAAAUUCGAAUCUUGAUACUUGAUACUUGAUUUCCACAUAUGCUAAUUUUCAAUCAAACCCCAGUAUUAGGGGACUGCUUCAAGGAGACAAGGAUGUAGAAAAUGAGCAUUAGCAUAUGUACAAAUGUAAUAAGAAAAUGGACUUUGGUCUCCCCUGCAACAACUCUUUUUUUUAAGUAACAUCAACGAAUGGGCAUCAAGGUGGUUUUUUUUCAUAAGAAAAUGUAAUUAGAAAGGAGAAGAGAUUUACAAAUACAAAUAUUAAACCUCAUAUCAUCAAUUUGAAACCUACAGAUUGGCAUUAGCAUAUUUUUGGAUUAUCCUUGGACUUGCAGAAAAUAAUUGAUAAAUUCCCCCAAGGUGGAUGUAAUUUGACGAAUUUAUAAAGGGAUACCCUCAGUUCCUGGUUCUCAUCUUUCUUUGCUAAAUACAUACAAGUUGAGGCAUUCAUUAUAUAAAUUGAUGAUCCAAGUAGUCUAGUUUUUCAUUUGAAUACAAUACAGCAGCUGUAUGUAUGCAUGCGUGUUGUGUAAGCGCAUAGAUUGAAAUAUAGCAUAGCAUUAGCUCUUAAUAAACCACUCCCAUUUUAGGUGGAACUGUGUAGACCUCUACCGCACUCGUUGCCCAGCAUUUAGUCAGAGGAUGUUCUCUCUUCUUUUAUCCAUUUAUUCUACUCCUUUUUAAAGGUGGUUUUUUUCAUAAGAAAAUGUAAUUAGAAGGGAGAAGAGAUUUACAAAUACAAAUAUUAAACCUCAUAUUAGCAAAUACAGAUUCGAAGGUUAGGGCAGACAAGGUUAGGGAGAAGAGAUUCAAUUUCUACAAAUGUUGAAUCUUUCGUCAUAAAAAAACAUAAAAGGGAAAACAUGUUGAAAGAAUGUUAGGGCAGACAAUGUUUACCUUGAUUGAAUUGGGAUUCACUGCAUUUGAAGUCACUACAUUUGGAGAUAAUUGGCAGACAAUUUCAAGAGACUUCCCUACUCACUGCAUUUGAAGAAAACAAAAAAACAAAAAUAAUGAAACAAUAUUUCAAGAACAGAUCAUUAAAUUCAUGGUAUAUAUAAAGAAAUUUAAUUGAAAUCAAAGGAAUAGAAGAAGGGAGAAGCGUACUUGGGAACCAUUGCUGCUACUCUCUGUUACUCUGUUACCUCAUACGAUUCGUAAUUGAAGGCCUUGUUGAGGGUUGUUAGGGUUUGUUAAAGGGUUGGUCAGGAUAGAAGCAUGAAAAGGAGGGAGAAGGUUGGAAGGAAAUGGAAAGAAAAAUGAAAAAAAGAAGAAGAUGUUUCAGACAUGAGAAAGAAAUGAGAAAUGAGAAAGAAAUGAGAAGACGGCUGGGGAGGGUAAAACAGACUCUGAUUAGCUAAUCCUUACUUUUGGAAGGUAUUAAAAAUCAGCGUUGAAGCAGAGAAAAUAAAGAAUACCUCCGUAAUGUAAUAGGCCCGUAUUAGGGCAAUACAUUGAACCAAACAAGGGAUUAAGUGGGCCCACGGAAUAGGGGUGUAAUGGCUAAUCCAUUACACCCAACCAAACAUGGUGUAAAGAAAAGUCUCCAGCCGACAAAAAAUAGCUAUAGCCCAUAAUUACUUUUCUCUUCCUCUGAACAGUCACAGCCAUUAAACGCAGGUCUUUUCAUAUCUUCAGCAAAUCUAUAGACAUCUACUAUACAUUUCCAAAGCCAUCCCUCUUAACUUCCUUUUCCCCUUCUUUUCAAACUCAUGGUGGAUCUUCUCUUAAUAGUUGCCUGGAUGCCUAUUCCUUAUCCUUUCAAGCUCAUGACGAACCUGCUCUGAAAUGCCAUUCUCCAGGUAAUAACUUGCAUCUUCCUUCAAAGUUUCUUUUGCUAUAAAAUGCGCCAUCAUAUUUUUUGAUCUCGGGAUAUAACAAAAAUCAAUUUCUUGAAAGAGUGAUUUCGCAUCUUGAAUGUCUUUUAUGAUGGCUCCUAUAAUCGACUUAUCCCUUUCUGUACUCUGGCAUUUUUUGAUAGUUGUCUUUGAAUCCCCAAGUAUUUCACAUGAAUUAAUGCCUAAAAAGAUCCCUAAUCUCACUGCUUGUAAUCCUGCAAGCGCCUCCGCUACAAAUGAGGAGGCUACGUUUGAGUGGAGAACAGAUUUUGUUGCUAAAACUUCCCCUCGCAUGUCUCGAACCACCAGCCCUGAAGCAGAUUUAAAAGAGUUUUGCUCAAAAGCCGUAUCAAAGUGGAUGGUUACACGCGUCCUUUGUUCAUUCUGGCUAUGGAUUCUGACUUCUUCACAGAUAAGUAGCUUCUCCUCUAACCCUUUCAGUUCUAAGUUAUAACUUAUUAUCUGUCUUGAAAUAUCUCUGCCAUUUGUGAUUUUACUUUCAUAAAGUAACUGGUUUCUGUUUGACCAGAUGAGCCAUAGUCCGCAACAGAAUAGACGACAUUCCUCAUUUGUUCCCUGAUUAAAGACCCAGAUAAGCCACUCCCAAACAUUCUGAAUACUAUUAUUUAGCAUCCAAUCGAACCUUAACUAUCUCCAAACUUCCUCCGUUGUAGGACACUGUCGAAAAACGUAGAUACUGUCUUAUUCAAUUUGUCUACAUUUGGGACACCAAUCUUCAGUAACCACUCUCUUCAGCUUCAGAUUAGCUAAUGUAGGAAUAUAGUUCCAAGAGAUCUUCCAUACUGUAAUUUUUAUUUUCGAGGGCAUCCGUAAAUUCCAUAGCUUUCUGUAGAAUUUUUUGUUUUCGGCCUGUAUAAAGUAAUUGUUAGGAAUCCGUGUAGAACUCUGUAAUAGUUUAUAGGCGCUUCUAACCGAAAAGGUUCCUGAUGGUUCUCCUCCCCAAACUUGGAAAUCAUCCUGCACUGAACUAGACAAAGGGAUCUGCAUAAUACAUUUUGUAAUAUCCGCACUGAAGGUAUUAACUAGAAUAUCUGCUUUCCAUGAGCUA